GUCUUUUAACUGUAAAAUGCUUUGCUUCACCUCACAGUGUCGCCUCUGGUGUAGUGGAGAGGCCUUGGAAAACUUCGGAUGCAAGACUUGUACUUGAAGAUGGUUCGGUUUGGAAAGCCAAGUCAUUUGGUGCUAGAGGAACCCAAGUUGGUGAAGUGGUGUUCAAUACAUCUUUGACAGGAUAUCAAGAAAUACUUACAGAUCCUAGUUACGCUGGCCAGUUUGUCUUAAUGACAAACCCACAUAUUGGAAACACUGGUGUAAAUUU
rnacentral:misc_RNA from 1 species